CCCCAUCGUGAUCGUCGGCAUGAGCUGCCGCUUCCCGGGCGGCAUCGACUCGCCCGAGGAACUCUGGCGGUUCGUGUCCGCCGAGGGCGAC
rnacentral:tRNA from 1 species